CCUACGUGCGGCAGCAGUGGGAAUAUUUCACAAUGGGGGAAACCCUGAUGCAGCGACGCCGCGUGAGUGAAGAAGUAUUUCGGUAUGUAAAGCUCUAUCAGCAGGGAAGAAAAUAACGGUACCUGAUUAAGAAGCACCGGCUAACUACGUGCCAGCAGCCGCGGUAAUUCGAAGGGGGCAAGCGUUAUCCGGAUUUACUGGGUGUAAAGGGGGCGUAGACGGCAGCACCAGUCUGGAGUGAAAGGCCGGGGCUUAACCCCGGAACUGCUUUGGAACCUGUGCAGCUAGAGUGCAGGAGAGGUAAGUGGAAUUCCUAGUGUAGCGGUGAAAUGCGUAGAUAUUAGGAGGAACACCAGUGGCGAAGGCGGCUGACUGGACUGUAACUGACGUUGAGGCUCGAAAGCGUGGGGAGCAAACAGGAUUAGAUACCCCUGUAGUC
rnacentral:rRNA from 1 species